rnacentral:rRNA from 1 species
UACGGGGGGGGCAAGCGUUGUUCGGAAUUACUGGGCGUAAAGGGCUUGUAGGUGGCCAACUAAGUCAGACGUGAAAUCCCUCGGCUUAACCGGGGAACUGCGUCUGAUACUGGAUGGCUGGAGUGUGGGAGAGGGAUGCGGAAUUCCAGGUGUAGCGGUGAAAUGCGUAGAUAUCUGGAGGAACACCGGUGGCGAAGGCGGCAUCCUGGACCAUUACUGACGCUCAGGUGCGAAAGCGUGGGGAGCAAACAGG